UACGCUCUAGGCGGGACUUCCGGAAACUCGGGCCGAAAACAUCUGGUCGCCCUUCCGGGCUGAGACGAGUUCUCUCACCUUGGUUUCAUGCUGGCCUCUGGUAGUGGUGGUGGAGUGUGUAGUGCUGUGGUGUAUUCGAUAGCCCAGAACAGUAACAAUAAUGCUCUUCGUGUUCCUGGAGCGAGCAGACCCCAUUGGGCUACUCUAGCAUGCCACGGGGACGAAUGAAGACGUUACUGGCACCCACUUGAGCAAAUUGAUGAGCAAUGGGAUGACAGUUUCCAAGAAUGUGACAUCUUCCUGUGAGCAGAGAGGAACAGUGGGAAUUGUUCUUAUUUUCAUUGGGACAAUCAUUAGAAAGGAAUCAAUGAAGCCGAAUAAACCAUAUUUCAAAGGACGACUCUCUAGAUGUUUCCUGGAAAGAUGACCAAGCUUGAAAUCACAGACCCUAACAGUUUGAAUGUCCGCAUGCUGCUUCUCUUGAGAACCAUCAUACAGUGAGAACCCUGAGCUAGCACUCUUCCCAGAAGGAGAGACAGGGCUGAUACUUCAGACUCAGAAGCCUGCGAAGAUCCUACCACUAAACAAGUUUGAGAUCCAACAUGAUUGCAUCCCAGGGCAGAAGCAGAAGAAAAACCACUGCAGAGACAGUGGCCAGGACACUGCCACCUCCCAGGCCUGCCGAGCACCUACUGGGGUGAAGAAGAGCUACCAAGAGGCCUCGACUCUGAGAAAACAGAAAAGCCUCUAUCUCCUCCAGCUGCAGCUGUGCACAGCUAAUUUUCAUCAACAACUGGCUGCAUGCCAAGAGUUAGCCAUCCAAAAGGAGCAGAGGCUCCUGGGGCAGUUGGAACAGGAGAAAAUAAGACAUAACUCUGAAUUGAAUAACAUGAAAGAGGAAAUGAAAAAAUUUUGAGUGAGAGAGGGGCCCUGUACACUUGGGCAGGAAGACCCUUCUUCACUCCCUCCUCACCUUCUUCCCUCACCUUUAGGAAAUCCUGAAAAAGACCCAAGAAGGGAACCUACAGCUCCGGGCUCAGCUCAAAGCUGUGACGACUCACGCAAAUACUGCAGUUCUCACGUAUAUUCCAGGAAGAACUGGAAGAUCAGACAGAGGAAAUCUUCAAGAUUAUGGAGGCGGAUGAAAAAUCAUCCCAGUCCUCCAUGGAGGAGAAGGUGGUUCAGGCCACAGUCCCUGAAAACACUGGCCAACAAGUUAUACAAGAAGAUUUCAUGGUAAUUCAAAGCAAUCCAGGCCAGGGACUAAGGCCCUUCUUCUCAUUUCUACUAACCUUUAUCUAUCAGUCAUUUUGACUGACUAAACCAAAAGCUACCAUAGU